GGCAGAGCAGCGUUUCUUUAAAAGACCACUAUAAUAUCUGGUGACUGGAUUGCUGUCACUCUGGCUUUUGGCUUUUGCUAAUGUUCCUCUUGCUGCCUUUUAUUUUCUGUUUUUUCUCUUGCAAUUUCCAUCAGCUCACUUGCCAGCUUUUCCUUUUCCUUCCACGGAAGCUGUUUGAGCAUGCAAAUAUGUCCAGCUAGAUUCAUUUCUGUGUCAGGAUAUUCCUCCUGAAGGUGCAGAAAUAAGCCACUUCGGUGCCACUUUGCCAUCAAAAUUUCAGAUAUGCCAAAGAAUUGUUCAUCCCUCAUAAGAACCAAUUUUUUUCGCAAGUAAUGUGUUCAGAAUGUUCAUCGCAUCUCUCAUCACCAAACACCUGCAGUAAAUAAACACAUCACAUAAAACUUACAAAUAUUCUUGAUAUUGAGGUCCAUAGUAUUGUUCAGGAUUGUUUCACACCAUGACUCGGAACACAAAGAAUUAAGAUCAUUUUUUAGAUACAAUCACUUCUCAGAUUAAAGCAACCAUUUAUAUGUGCAACCAUCUUUAAAAAAAUCAAACUCAGAAGGUCUGAGAAAAGGUGCCUUAGUUGUAGGCUUGUAGCUCAUCUGCCUCCACUAAGAAUCCAACCUUACAUUCCAGCUGCAAUGCAAUGACAUCUAUGAUCAAACUCUUCGAGAUUGGCAUCAAGGGUCCAAGCAAUGAAAUAUUGAUGACCACCUCCAAGAGUAAUGACAUGCUUUCAUAGGUUGAGAACUCUACAACAAAGCUUGAGCCCCUGGAAAAUAUCAGAUUUUUCUUACACUUUAAAUAAAAUCCGACACUACAAGUUAGACUGAAAGUCCAUCUUUAAGCCUGACAGCUGACACCCGAAAAUCCCCCAUAGUUCUGCACCAACUGCGCAUCCUCCCACCAUUCCAAACCUGCAGCGACAUCGCAAAUAACCACCACUGUCGUGGGAAUCACACACACGCGCACACACACACAUGAACCCAUGCAAUUGCCGCUCGAUCAUUCAAGGUGCGUAAACUCGUCCUAAUCGAAGACGAAAAGCGAAACGGGGGAAGCGAGAGAGGGAGAGGGAAAGAGAUCGAGAUCAUACGUGGCCCUCAAACAUCGUCGAAGUCGAGGGGAGGACGACGGUGUCCUGUGCACCUUGUUCGAGCUCGACUUGUCACCCCUUCAUCGUCUGUUUCUCAUCUCUCAUCUACUCUCCCCUUUGAUUCG
rnacentral:lncRNA from 1 species